rnacentral:rRNA from 1 species
GUGUCGAGCGGCGGANGGGUGAGUAAUGCCUAGGUAUCUGCCCAGUCGAGGGGGAUAACAGUUGGAAACGACUGCUAAUACCGCAUACGCCCUACGGGGGAAAGGAGGGGACCUUCGGGCCUUUCGCGAUUGGAUGAACCUAGGUGGGAUUAGCUAGUAGGUGGGGUAAUGGCUCACCUAGGCAACGAUCCCUAGCUGGUCUGAGAGGAUGAUCAGCCACACUGGAACUGAGACACGGUCCAGACUCCUACGGGAGGCAGCAGUGGGGAAUAUUGCACAAUGGGCGAAAGCCUGAUGCAGCCAUGCCGCGUGUAUGAAGAAGGCCUUCGGGUUGUAAAGUACUUUCAGCGAGGAGGAAAGGUAGGUAGUUAAUAACUGCUUACUGUGACGUUACUCGCAGAAGAAGCACCGGCUAACUUCGUGCCAGCAGCCGCGGUAAUACGAGGGGUGCAAGCGUUAAUCGGAAUUACUGGGCGUAAAGCGUACGCAGGCGGUUUGUUAAGCAAGAUGUGAAAGCCCCGGGCUCAACCUGGGAACUGCAUUUUGAACUGGCAAACUAGAGUCUUGUAGAGGGGGGUAGAAUUUCAGGUGUAGCGGUGAAAUGCGUAGAGAUCUGAAGGAAUACCGGUGGCGAAGGCGGCCCCCUGGACAAAGACUGACGCUCAGGUACGAAAGCGUNNNGAGCAAACAGGAUUAGAUACCCUGGUAGUCCACGCCGUAAACGAUGUCUACUCGGAAUUUGGUGUCUUGAACACUGGGUUCUCAAGCUAACGCAUUAAGUAGACCGCCUGGGGAGUACGGCCGCAAGGUUAAAACUCAAAUGAAUUG